GGCCAUAGCUCAAUGGCAGAGCACCUGCUUGGCAUGCAGAAGGCACCAGGUUCAAUCCCCAACAACAUCUCCAGGUAGGGCUG